rnacentral:tRNA from 1 species
AUUUAUAUAGUUUAAUAAAAACAUUAUAUUUUCAAUAUAAAAAUAAUUUAAAAUU